AUCUAAUUAUCGAUAUCGACCGAUAUGAAACACUUACAUCGUGAUACAGUUUUCAGCCAUAUCGCCCAGCCCUAUGGGGUAUUAUUAUUUAGCUACAAACUGCUCCUCCGAACCUAGAGCCUGGUCCUAACUUAUAUACUACUCGUAGUAAGUGCUACAACUAGUUCAAUCAACCCAGGGUUUCCCAAUCCAGCGCAUUCACAUAAAAGAGGCGGUGUUUGGACAGCAUGGCCAAUUGCAAACAUCUACCAGUUAUUUUAAAUAAGAAGAUAUCACUUCCCCAUCUAAGAUGCACAAGAUGUAAAGGCUUCUAGGAUUGGUUGAUAACUCAAACUUGCCGAGACACCCAUUUGAUUACAUAGACUCAGUUACACAGACUGUUACGUUCUCGUUCAGUAGCCUGGUGACAGCCUACCUACCAUGCAGCCUGCAACAUUCACUUCUCUAACAUUUAACUUAACAUAACUACCAAGAUAACAUGACGUGUAUUUGUAUGUGAUGUACUUAAUGUGUGAAUUGCCAUGAACACAAUCCUCUAAGAUGCACCAGAAACAAGGCUUGGUUACAAGUGAAACACCGUUAUGAUAAACCCUGGGUUGAACCUGAAGUUACCUUGUUAACGCCAAAUCUUGCGUCGUAGUCCUGCAGGACUCAAUUCCACAUUUUUCACAAUGGUGUCAGGUCAAUUACCUUCUAACUAAACAAAGACAAAACAAAAGAGCUGGUCAUCUACACAUCCAAAUCACCACCUGGACUGAACCAUACCCACAUCCACGGCCAACCAGUUGAACAGGUCAGCAGUUUUAAAUACCUGGGACUCAUUAUAAACAAUAAACUCAACUUCAAGGAACAUGUCACUACCACCCUGUUCUUACACAAUGCUAACCGCCACCUGCAAAAACAAACUCACUAACAUCACACAUAUUGCCUCCAAGGUAAUCAGUCUCCCCACACCCAGCCAUCACACGCCUAGCACGUACAAUAGUAGCUGACACAUACCGUCUGCUGAGUCAGUUCUUCACACUACAGUCAUCUGGCCGCAGAUACAGAGCACUGAACCUAAAGCCUAUUUCAAAAAAAGGUUUUGUCCCCACCGCCAUCACAGUGCUGAACAAACUAUAAUUCUGCCACCACCACCCCAGCUGCUUUGUAGUUUUUCACAUUUGAUGUGUCUAUGUGUGUGUCUUAAUAUGAUGUGUUCUUUUUAGUGUGUUACAUGUUUUAUGUGUGCUAUGGAACAUGAAAAGAUGUGUGGAAAUGAUUAUGAUUUUUAUAAUUAUCUCAAUGUUAUGUUCUGUAUUCCCAUGAUAUACGUAUAGCGCAGUGAACAACUGUUCUCAUUCAUUUUUGUAUUGAAGACAAUCCAAAAGUACAUGUUAAACAGUGUGUUGCUGUUUGCAGGUUCUACAAAGUCCAUCCUCAUGCUUGCCCAUCUUUGCUAGAUCCCAUGCAAGUCCACAAUGCCCGAGUCUCAGCCUUGUCAUUAGUGUCUUCUUUCUUUGCCCAAAUAGCACUCCUCUGUCUGUACCCUAUUUUGAAUUGAAAAAUAACGACGACCCCUCUUUUCCUUUUCCCACUGCCUUUGCCACACUGCUGUAACAUUUUUUCUUAAUGACCGAUUCAGAUAUCCCAACACAUACCCUUAAAUCAAUGUCUCUUUUCAGUGCCAUUUUAGCUGCCUUAUCUGCUAUCUCAUUCCCGAAAGGCACCCACAGAAAUCCCACCAAUGCCAGGGGGACUACUACCUGUUUUUAUGGUUUUUAUAGGAGGCCCUGCUGCAGUGAUUGGCCAAAAGAACACCAGGUAGUUAUCAGUUAAACUCAUACUGCUAGACAUAUGUCUGUCUUGUUGAGUUUUUGCUUCUGGCCCUGGUCUAUAAAAACCACCUCAAAGCCAGAUGGUGGACCCACAGCCCUCUGAUAUUCAUUUACACUCACUUCAGUUUGAGAUUUGAUGCUCAAAGGUCUGAACUUGUGUGCUAAAUGUGACCUCUGUGGAAUAACAGUUUUACAAAGCACAUGGUUCAGCGGUGCAUUGGGCUGCAGUGGGAGAUGCUGGAUCAUCAACAGAAUACUACUGACACACUGACUCUCAUGUUCAGUAACUGUUCAUGUUAUAACUGAUUGUUAAAGUUUGUAAAACAUUACAUAUAUUAUAUAGUAUUGUGUGUUGUUCUCUCAGAUGUGUGUGAACUGGAACUGGACCCAAACACAGUAAACAGAAGUCUCAAACUGAAAGGUGACAUAUUAUAUAGGUGUUAAAGGAUGAGCCAUAUACCUGAUCAUCCAGCUGGGCUCAGCUGCUGUGUAGAGAUGGUCUGACUGGUCGCUGUUACUGGGAGGGCGAGUGGAGAGGAAAGGUUUCUAGAUGAGUGAGUUCCAGAGGAGUCAGCAGGAGAGGAGCCAGUGAAGACUGGUAUCAGUCCUGGAGUCUGGAGUGCUCUGAUGAUGUUUACUGUGUCUGUCACAGACCUCACUUCCUUCAAUGGUCUCUAACAGAGUAGCAGUGGAUGUGGACUGACCUGCUCUCCUCUGACACUCUGAUCCACCUCCACACCUGCAGCUCCACAUUCACUCUGCCUCUUUAUCCUGGGUUUAGGUUGGGGUCUAGUUCCUCAGUGUCUCUGCGUCCUCUCUGCAGGUCUGAGAGUCUCUCCUGUGGACAGAAACACUGACUGAAGAUCAGCUGCUGAAGCAAAAGUUCAGUCUGUUCUCCAUUACACACAUUCUGCACUGUCGAGCACAUCUGUCUCAGACUCUAACACAAAUCAGUCGUAUGUCUGAUUUCACCUCUUAGAUUAUCACCGUUUUAACUGUUUCACUAGAAACACUUAAUGAUUUAUGGCUGGCUCUCUUUAUGAGUUUCAAAGCAUUCAACAUCAUCAGAAAGUUUUUAGACAUAAACAAAAUUGUUUUGUGAUGGUCUGGUUUUUUGAGUGUUAUUCACACUCAGCUGCUUUAAAUUAUAAGUGAAAAGUCCACAAAGGAAGAAAAUAUGUUGAACUUGUUAUGGUUUGCUCUCUCUCUGCCCUGAGUUGGGUGUUUUUUUUCCCUGUUUGUCUGUGUGUUCUGUGUUUUUUCCACCUGGAGUGCUGGAGGCGUGUCCGGAGGAAAGUAGGUCAAGGGGCGUGGCUGAUCCAACACUGCACAGCCGGUCUUCACAGCUGCAGCUCAUCUACUUGAUUCACUCCAGCAAUACUUAAACCUGGGCUGAUCACCUCUUUGACGCCAGUUCAUUAUCGACAACAUAUGUGUUCCCGCUCUGACCUGGUGCUUCCUCCGCUGUGCCUGCAUGCUUCAAGCCUAACCGUCCAGCCUCCGUCUCCAACCUGGGAUACCAUCUGUGUACUCAUCUCUGCCUGUUCACCUCGUGUCCCAUAACAACCUGGACUCUUCCCCGUCGGCUCGCCUCUAGCCUCAGACCAGCCAGGAGUUUCCCCACCCUGACACUACCUGCAGUGUUUCCUGAGUACACUCUGCUCCAUUAAACCUUUUGUAACUACUUUACGUUGUCUGUGUAAUAUCUCUGCGUUCUGGGUCAGACAAGCCCCUUAACAGAACUAUAAAACAACAAUAACUAGAGAGCAUACAUAUGUGAUUCUGUGGGAUGGGGAAUACACUAAACACUACACACAGCUGAGUGAAUGUAAUGUUACAUUACGUUUUGGGUAUAUCUGUGUAUAUGUAGCCUAUACAAGUUGUACCAAGAGCUUCUGUGAUAUCAAUUUGUGUUGUAAUAAACUUUUUAAAUAAAAACUCUGAGGCUGUUACUAAAAUAUUA